AGUCACUGACAUUAGAUACCCCCGUAGUCCCAGCCGUAAACAAUGUGCGUUAGGUGUGUCGGUAACCGCGCGUUACUGAUGCGCCGAAGAGAAAUCGUGAAACGCACCACCUGGGAAGUACGGUCGCAAGGCUGAAACUUAAAGGAAUUGGCGGGGGAGCACCACAACAGGUGGAGCCUGCGGUUUAAUUGGAUUCAACGCCGGACAUCUCACCGGAUAAGACAGCUGAAUGAUUGUCAAUCUGAAGGUUUUACAUGACUAGCUG
rnacentral:rRNA from 1 species